rnacentral:rRNA from 1 species
AACAAACGCUGGCGGCGUGCCUAAUACAUGCAAGUCGAACGGGGUAGCAAUACCUAGUGGCGCACGGGUGAGGAACGCGUGGAUAAUCUGCCUUAGAGUGGGGAUAACUAGUCGAAAGAUUAGCUAAUACCGCAUAAGACCACAGGAGCUGCGGCUCUAGGGGUCAAAGGUUUUUCGCUCUAAGAUGAGUCCGCGUCAGAUUAGCUAGUUGGUGAGGUAACGGCUCACCAAGGCGACGAGCUUUAACUGGUCUGAGAGGAUGAUCAGUCACACUGGAACUGGGACACGGUCCAGACUCCUACGGGAGGCAGCAGUAGGGAAUAUUGCACAAUGGAGGAAACUCUGAUGCAGCGACGCCGCGUGAGUGAUGAAGGCCUUCGGGUCGUAAAGCUCUGUCGCAGGGGAAUAACACAAUGAAUGUACCCUGUAAGAAAGGAUCGGCUAACUUCGUGCCAGCCGCCGCUGUAACAC